rnacentral:lncRNA from 1 species
UCAGUGUAGUUUUGGAGUGUCUGGUAGAUGGGACUACCAGAAGCUGUGAUUUCACUGUGAUUGUUGCUGCUGCUACUGCUCGCUGACCUUCCUUAUUACACCAAUCAAUAUUAAAAAAAACUAGCCUAAGCUAUGAACUACGAAUUACAAAAAUCCUAUCUAAAUUCUUCAAACUUGCUCUUGUACUUCCUUGUCGUUUUGUUGUCAUGUAUUUUCUCUUGCUGCCUUGUUGUCUUGUGUUUUCUUUGGUGAAACUCAUUGUUGUUACUUCAAAUCGUGCACGGAGAUGUUGUUACUUCCCUCCAAAUUGUUGAACUAGAAUAAACUUGAACUUGAAUGUAUUCCUUGUUAUUCAGGCAAGCUCCUGAUUGCUGAAUUUGAACUUGACUUUAUUCCUCUGUUAUCCAGGCGGACUCCUGACUUCAUGAAAUAGACAAAACAAAGAAAACUUUCUGCCCCAGUUUGGAAACUGGGCACCGUUACCGGAUAUUAAUAAGAAUUUUGACUACAACUUGACUUGAAAUACCUCUGUUAUACAGGGGGGCUCUUGAUUUCAAAACUUGAAUUUUAUACAUCCGUUCUUAAGGCGAGCUCCUGACUUCAACUACAAUUUAAAAUUUAACACCUCCAUUUUCCAGGCGGGCUCCUGAUUUCAACUACUUUAAGAUUUAGCACCUCCAUUAUCCAGGAGGGCUCCUGAUUGCUAAAUAUUUAAUUGUAUGUCUGUAUUCUCCAGGCGGACUCCUGACUUCAGAUUGGACAAAGAAAUCGAUUGAAAACUACACAUUGAAUUGUAUCACCUCUAUUUUUCAAGCGGCAUCCUGAUUGCUAAAAUUUGGGCUGCAUGCCUCUGUUCUCCAGGAGGGCUCCUGAAUACUGAAAUUGAAAUAUAUGUCUCUAUCCUCCAGGUGGGCUCUUGACUCCAAAAAUUUAAAGUGUAUGUCUCUAGUUUCAGGCGGACUCCUGACUAACGAAAUUUGAGAUGCAUGUCCCUGUUUUCCAGGCAGACUCCUGACUUCAAAAAUAGACAAAGAAAUUGAUUGAAAACUAAAAAUGGAUAGUGUCAUCUCUAUUCUUCAGGCGGGCUCCUCACUUUUGAAAUUUAAACUAUAUGCCUCUGUUUUCCAGGCAGGCUCCUGAAUACUGAAAUUGAAAUAUAUGUCUCUGUUCUCCAGGCAGACUCCUGACUUCAAAAAUUUAAACUGCAUGUCUCUGUUCUUUAGGCGUACUCCUGACUUCUAAAACUUGAAAUAUAUGUCUCUGUUCUCCAAGCGGACUCCUGACUUCAAAAUUUGAUAUGCGUACCUCUGUUCUCCAGGUGGGCACCUGACUACCAAAAUAAAUGAAGGAAUUGAUUUGAAACUAACAACUUGAAUUGUAUCACCUCUAUUCUUCAGGCGGGCUCUUGAUUCCAAACUUGAAUUGCAUGUCUCUGUUCUUCAGGCGGACUCCUGAUUGCUAACUUGAAAUGUAUGUCUCUAUUCUCCAAGCGGACUCCUGACUUAAAAAAUUCUAAAUGCAUGGCGGACUCCUGACAAAAAUUCUAAAUGCAUGUCUCUAUUCUCCAGGUGGACUCAAAAAUGCUAAAUGCAUGUCUCUAUUCUCCAGGCGGACUCAAAAAUGCUAAAUGCAUGUCUUUAUUCUCCAGGCGGACUCCUGAAAUUUAAAAUGCGGACCUCUGUUCUUCAGGCGGGCACCUGACUACCAAAAUAAAUGAAGGAAUUGAUUUAAAACUAACAACUUGAAUUGUAUCACCUCUAUUCUUCAGGCGGGCUCCUGAUUCCAAACUUGAAUUGCAUGUCUGUGUUCUUCGGGCGGACUCUUGAUUGCUAACUUGAAAUGUAUUCCUCUAUUCUUCAAGCGGGCUCCUGACUACUAAAACUUGAAAUGUAAUCCUCUAUUCUUCAGGCAUGCUCCUGAUUUCACAAAAAUAGACAAGACAACAAAAAUUUUCUGCCCCAAUUUGGGAAAACUGGGCUUGUUACCACAUACUAAAAAGGAUUGAAACUAAAACUUGAAUUGCGAUAAGACUGAAGUAUAACUCUUAACAU